rnacentral:rRNA from 1 species
UACGUAGGGGGCUAGCGUUGUCCGGAUUUAUUGGGCGUAAAGAGCUCGUAGGCGGUUUGUCGCGUCUGCUGUGAAAACCCGAGGCUCAACCUCGGGCCUGCAGUGGGUACGGGCAGACUAGAGUGCGGGAGGGGAGAUUGGAAUUCCUGGUGUAGCGGUGAAAUGCGCAGAUAUCAGGAGGAACACCGGUGGCGAAGGCGGGUCUCUGGGCCGAUACUGACGCUGAGGAGCGAAAGCGUGGGGAGCGAACAGG